UGGGGAAUCUUCCGCAAUGGACGAAAGUCUGACGGAGCAACGCCGCGUGAGUGAUGACGGCCUUCGGGUUGUAAAGCUCUGUUAAUCGGGACGAAUGGUUCUUGUGCGAAUAGUGCGAGGAUUUGACGGUACCGGAAUAGAAAGCCACGGCUAACUACGUGCCAGCAGCCGCGGUAAUACGUAGGUGGCAAGCGUUGUCCGGAAUUAUUGGGCGUAAAGCGCGCGCAGGCGGAUUGGUAAGUCUGUCUUAAAAGUUCGGGGCUUAACCCCGUGAUGGGAUGGAAACUGCCAAUCUAGAGGAUCGGAGAGGAAAGGGGAAUUCCUAGUGUAGCGGUGAAAUGCGUAGAUAUUAGGAAGAACACCAGUGGCGAAGGCGACUUUCUGGACGAAAACUGACGCUGAGGCGCGAAAGCCAGGGGAGCGAACGGG
rnacentral:rRNA from 1 species